rnacentral:rRNA from 1 species
CAAGAGCGUAUAUUAAAGUUGCUGCGGUUAAAAAGCUCGUAGUUGGAUUUCAGUCUAGGAAGGUUAACUCGCCGAAAGGUUGUACGUUGAUUUUCCUCAGACUUCGUCAGAAGCUCGUGCUGCACUUAACUGUGUGGUACGAUGUUCUGACCUUUUACCUUGAGGAAAGUAGAGUGUUUCAGGCAGGCUACCCAGCUUGAAUACAUUAGCAUGGAAUAAUGAAAUGGAUCUCGGUUCGAUUUCGUUGGUUCUAGAGCUGAGGUGAUGAUCAAUAGGGACAGGCGAAGGUAUUCGUACUUGAGAGUGAGGAGUGAAAUCCGAUGAUCUCUUAAAGACGAUCCGAGGCGAAAGCAUUUGUCAAGGAUGUUUUCAUUGA